AACGUAGGAGGCAAGCGUUAUCCGGAUUUAUUGGGCGUAAAGCGCGUGCAGGUGGUUUGACAAGUUGGAUGUGAAAGCUCCCGGCUCAACUGGGAGAGGUCGUUCAAAACUGUCAGACUAGAGAAUAGGAGAGGGAGGUGGCAUUCCGGGUGUAGUGGUGAAAUGCGUAGAUAUCCGGAGGAACACCAGUGGCGAAAGCGGCCUCCUGGACUAUUUCUGACACUAAGACGCGAAAGCUAGGGUAGCAAACGGGAUUAGAGACCCCGGUAGUCCUAGCUGUAAACGAUGUAGACUUGGUGUUGGCGGAGUUAAAUCUGCCAGUACCGUAGCUAACGCGAUAAGUCUACCGCCUGGGGACUACGAUCGCAAGAUUAAA
rnacentral:rRNA from 1 species